rnacentral:lncRNA from 1 species
GUUUUUAAUUGCAGUUGUAUAAGUCCCCAGUUGCCAUAUUGUAAAUAAAUGCAUAUACUUUUAGAUUCUUGAAUAAAUAAUAGUUUAGUACUUAGUCUUUAUAUAUAUUAAUAUACUUCUCAUCACACUUACAGUUUAUUACAAACUUCAGACAUUUGUCCUUUAGAAAUUGAGAUUUGGGUUUAUGCUUAUGAGACAGCAACUCAAGGCAUUAUUAUAAUUUCUGUGUUAAAGAGUUUAUGGGUGAACUAGAGACAUUAAUUUGGUAUUAGAUAAAACCAUUUAUAAUAAAUCAAGAACAAGUGAAGUCAUAAAAUUAAAAUUAUAUUUAUUAUAAUUGGAGUUUAUUAUGAACUUGUCAUCUCACUCUAUUGGGUAGUUAAUUAUCUUUGCACACGGUCUAUGAUGUCACAGUGCACAUUCCAUUCUUAUCUAUAUUGCUACGUCAUUACUUCUCACGAUGUUGGUGUAUGAUAUCUGAUGCAAGGAAUACAUGAACUUCUAUUGUUUUGGUCAGCUUUUUGCCACCACCUCCCCACCACUCUCCUUGCUGUCAGUGCCAUGGGGACUUUCAUUGAUGUUAUAUAUGUUGUUACAUAGUGUGAUGAUUGUGUUAUAUACUUUUUGUUUAUUAUUAGAAUUUUACAAUUGCUUGUCAUUAUUUUACUUUAUUAAAUUUUUUAUUUUCUUUGUAUUGUAAUAACAAAUAAUAUUAACAAUUGAAUCAAUUUUUGAUACCAUACUGAUGUAUGGUCUAAAUACCUUAUUUUUAACGGUCUUUGUACCUCAUUUUGACACCAUACUGACGUAUGGUUUAAUUUACAUUGUUCCUUGAUACUUAUUACAUAUUUCUGAUACCAUACUGACGUAUGGCCUGGUUACCUUUCUAUAGCACCAUACUGACGUAUGGUUUAAACGCAUCAUUUGACACCAUACUAACAUAUGGUUUUAAUUUCUUAUUUUGACACCAUAAUGACUUAUGGUUUAAAUUACCUUUUGACACCAUACUGACGUAUGGUCUAAGCACCUCUUUUUGACACCAUACUG